GAUGAACGCUGGCGGCGUGCCUAAUACAUGCAAGUCGAGCGAACAGACGAGGAGCUUGCUCCUCUGACGUUAGCGGCGGACGGGUGAGUAACACGUGGAUAACCUACCUAUAAGACUGGGAUAACUUCGGGAAACCGGAGCUAAUACCGGAUAAUAUAUUGAACCGCAUGGUUCAAUAGUGAAAGACGGUUUUGCUGUCACUUAUAGAUGGAUCCGCGCCGCAUUAGCUAGUUGGUAAGGUAACGGCUUACCAAGGCAACGAUGCGUAGCCGACCUGAGAGGGUGAUCGGCCACACUGAAACUGAGACACGGUCCAGACUCCUACGGGAGGCAGCAGCAGGGAAUCUUCCGCAAUGGGCGAAAGCCUGACGGAGCAACGCCGCGUGAGUGAUGAAGGUCUUCGGAUCGUAAAACUCUGUUAUUAGGGAAGAACAAAUGUGUAAGUAACUAUGCACGUCUUGACGGUACCUAAUCAGAAAGCCACGGCUAACUACGU
rnacentral:rRNA from 1 species